GAUGGCCCUGUUACCCUGAAGGCACCUGCUCUUGUCCGAUCUCAGAAGCUAAGCACGCUUGGGCCUGGUUAGUACUUGGAUGGGGGGCACAGUCGGGGCUGGGCAGGGCUGCCU
ensembl:rRNA 5S_rRNA 5S ribosomal RNA